rnacentral:rRNA from 1 species
AUUGAACGCUGGCGGCAGGCCUAACACAUGCAAGUCGAACGAGUGGCGGACGGGUGAGUAAUGUCUGGGAAACUGCCUGAUGGAGGGGGAUCACUACUGGAAACGGUAGCUAAUACCGCAUACCAUCAGAUGUGCCCAGAUGGGUUUAGCUAGUUGGGGGGGUAACGGCGUACCACGGCGACGAUCCCUAGCUGGUCUGAGAGGAUGACCAGCCACACUGGAACUGAGACACGGUCCAGACUCCUACGGGAGGCAGCAGUGGGGAAUAUUGCACAAUGGGCGCAAGCCUGAUGCAGCCAUGCCGCGGGUAUGAAGAAGGCCUUCGGGUUGUAAAGUACUGUCAGCGGGGAGGCGUUACCCGAAGAAGAAGCACCGGCUAACUCCGUGCCAGCAGCCGCGGUAAUUC